UGUUCUGUGGCUUAGUUGAUUAGAGCGCUGAUCUAUCGAAUAUGGAGUCGUAGGUUCAAAUCCCACCAGAACGC
rnacentral:tRNA from 1 species